GCUUGACUGUAGCUUGUAAUUGGGUUCGGGCUUUUUUUGCGCAGCCUAGGUGGGAGGCAACGAUGAUUUUUUUCCGGAAAAAUUUAAGCCGUUAGUGAGAGACCACUCUGAAAAGGCUAGAAUCCUAAUAAUGAUCCUUGAAUCAGGACAUUUGACAGUUGCAGGUGGGCAGUUUUACUGGGGCGGUAUUCUCCUAAAAAGUAACGGAGGGGUGCAAAGGUUCCCUCAGAGCUGGACGGAAAUCAGCUUAAGAGUGUAAAGGCAAAAGGGAGCUUGACUGCAAGACCUACAAGUCGAGCAGGGGCGAAAGCCGGCCUAGUGAUCCGACGGUACCACGUGGAAGGGCCGUCGCUCAACGGAUAAAAGUUA
rnacentral:rRNA from 1 species